rnacentral:misc_RNA from 1 species
CAGGACUCGCAAGACUCCCGUAAACCACUGUGAACUUACCUACAACCCGUUGCCUCGGCGGGUGCUCCGGGCGCGUCUUCGGGCGCUCCGGGGCGCUCCAGCCCGCCAGCGGCCCCUAAACUCUGUCUCUGUAACGUUGGCAUCUCCGAGCAGACUAUAAACGAGUCA